rnacentral:rRNA from 1 species
UACAGAGGGGGCAAGCGUUGUUCGGAAUUACUGGGCGUAAAGGGCGCGUAGGCGGCCUACUAAGUCGAACGUGAAAUCCCCGGGCUUAACCCGGGAACUGCGUCCGAUACUGGUUGGGCUUGAAUCCGGGAGAGGGAUGUGGAAUUCCAGGUGUAGCGGUGAAAUGCGUAGAUAUCGGAAGGAACGCCGGUGGCGAAAGCGGCCCGCUGGACCUCUUCUGACGCUGAGGCGCGAAAGCCAGGGGAGCGAACGGG